rnacentral:misc_RNA from 1 species
GAUGAAGAACGCAGCGAAAUGCGACAAGUAAUGUGAAUUGCAGAAUUCCGUGAAUCAUCGAAUCUUUGAACGCACAUUGCGCCCGCCAGUAUUCUGGCGGGCAUGCCUGUCCGAGCGUCAUUUCAACCCUCGAACCCCUCCGGGGGGUCGGCGUUGGGGAUCGGCCCUUUCACCGGGUGCCGGCCCCUAAAUACAGUGGCGGUCUCGCCGCAGCCUCUCAUGCGCAGUAGUUUGCACACUCGCACCGGGAGCGCGGCGCGUCCACGUCCGUAAAACACCCCAACUUCUGAAAUGUUGACCUCGGAUCAGGUAGGAAUACCCGCUGAACUUAAGCAUAUCAAUAAGCGGAGGA